rnacentral:rRNA from 1 species
CGUAUUAAAGAGUUACUCUCCAAUGACGCUGGCGGCGUGCGUAAUACAUGCAAGUCGAACGAGUUCUCGUUGAUGAUCGGUGCUUGCACCGAGAUUCAACAUGGAACGAGUGGCGGACGGGUGAGUAACACGUGGGUAACCUGCCCUUAAGUGGGGGAUAACAUUUGGAAACAGAUGCUAAUACCGCAUAGAUCCAAGAACCGCAUGGUUCUUGGCUGAAAGAUGGCGUAAGCUAUCGCUUUUGGAUGGACCCGCGGCGUAUUAGCUAGUUGGUGAGGUAAUGGCUCACCAAGGCGAUGAUACGUAGCCGAACUGAGAGGUUGAUCGGCCACAUUGGGACUGAGACACGGCCCAAACUCCUACGGGAGGCAGCAGUAGGGAAUCUUCCACAAUGGACGCAAGUCUGAUGGAGCAACGCCGCGUGAGUGAAGAAGGCUUUCGGGUCGUAAAACUCUGUUGUUGGAGAAGAAUGGUCGGCAGAGUAACUGUUGUCGGCGUGACGGUAUCCAACCAGAAAGCCACGGCUAACUACGUGCCAGCAGCCGCGGUAAUACGUAGGUGGCAAGCGUUAUCCGGAUUUAUUGGGCGUAAAGCGAGCGCAGGCGGUUUUUUAAGUCUGAUGUGAAAGCCCUCGGCUUAACCGAGGAAGCGCAUCGGAAACUGGGAAACUUGAGUGCAGAAGAGGACAGUGGAACUCCAUGUGUAGCGGUGAAAUGCGUAGAUAUAUGGAAGAACACCAGUGGCGAAGGCGGCUGUCUGGUCUGUAACUGACGCUGAGGCUCGAAAGCAUGGGUAGCGAACAGGAUUAGAUACCCUGGUAGUCCAUGCCGUAAACGAUGAAUGCUAGGUGUUGGAGGGUUUCCGCCCUUCAGUGCCGCAGCUAACGCAUUAAGCAUCCGCCUGGAGCCCGCGGAGCGGAGGGUGUGUCG